AGAGUUUGAUCCUGGCUCAGGAUGAACGCUGGCGGCGUGCUUAACACAUGCAAGUCGAACGGAAAGGCCCAAGCUUGCUUGGGUACUCGAGUGGCGAACGGGUGAGUAACACGUGGGUGAUCUGCCCCGCACUUCGGGAUAAGCCUGGGAAACUGGGUCUAAUACCGGAUAGGACCACUUCUUGGAGGUUGUGGUGGAAAGUUUUUUCGGUGUGGGAUGAGCUCGCGGCCUAUCAGCUUGUUGGUGGGGUAAUGGCCUACCAAGGCGUCGACGGGUAGCCGGCCUGAGAGGGUGUACGGCCACAUUGGGACUGAGAUACGGCCCAGACUCCUACGGGAGGCAGCAGUGGGGAAUAUUGCACAAUGGGCGCAAGCCUGAUGCAGCGACGCCGCGUGGGGGAUGACGGCCUUCGGGUUGUAAACUCCUUUCGCUAGGGACGAAGCGCAAGUGACGGUACCUAGAGAAGAAGCACCGGCUAACUACGUGCCAGCAGCCGCGGUAAUACGUAGGGUGCGAGCGUUGUCCGGAAUUACUGGGCGUAAAGAGCUCGUAGGUGGUUUGUCGCGUCGUUUGUGUAAGCCCGCAGCUUAACUGCGGGACUGCAGGCGAUACGGGCAUAACUUGAGUGCUGUAGGGGAGACUGGAAUUCCUGGUGUAGCGGUGGAAUGCGCAGAUAUCAGGAGGAACACCGAUGGCGAAGGCAGGUCUCUGGGCAGUAACUGACGCUGAGGAGCGAAAGCAUGGGGAGCGAACAGGAUUAGAUACCCUGGUAGUCCAUGCCGUAAACGGUGGGCGCNCGCAUGACCGGGCGGGAAGAAAUCUUCACGGGGGAGACGGACUCGCGGCGGGCGCCUUUGCGGGCUGCCAUGCGCAGGUAGGCGCGGUUGCCAGAUUCGGCUAGCUGCUUCAUGGACGCCGGAUCGUCCGCAAGGGAAGCGCGUGCGGCUUGGAGGAGUUCGAUGAACUCGUCGAGCACCGGCACGAGCGAGUCGGCGUUGGUUUCGCACAUGUUGCGCACGAGUUCGGGUUCCGUACUAGCUACCCGGGUCGCGCCUCUAAAGGACCCGGCGGACAGGGACUGCGAGAGCGUUCCGCCCCGGUCGCCGACCAACGACAGGGCUUCAGCGAUGACGUGGGGGAGGUGGGAGACGCGGGCGACGGAUUCGUC
rnacentral:rRNA from 1 species